GCCAGCAUGGUGUAGUGGUUUGAGCAUUGGACUGAGAUACCAGAGACCUGGGUUCGAUUCCCCUUUUGGCC